CGGAGGAUCCAAGCGUUAUCCGGAAUCAUUGGUUUAAAGGGUCCGUAGGCGGUCCUGUAAGUCAGUGGUGAAAGCCCAUCGCUCAACGGUGGAACGGCCAUUGAUACUGCAGGACUUGAAUUACUGGGAAGCAACUAGAAUAUGUAGUGUAGCGGUGAAAUGCUUAGAGAUUACAUGGAAUACCAAUUGCGAAGGCAGGUUGCUACCGGUGGAUUGACGCUGAUGGACGAAAGCGUGGGUAGCGAACAGGAUUAGAUACCCUGGUAGUCCACGCCGUAAACGAUGGAUACUAGCUGUUGGGAGCGAUCUCAGUGGCUAAGCGAAAGUGAUAAGUAUCCCACCUGGGGAGUACGAACGCAAGUUUG
rnacentral:rRNA from 1 species